AUUGAACGCUGGCGGCAGGCCUAACACAUGCAAGUCGAACGAGUGGCGGACGGGUGAGUAAUGUCUGGGAAACUGCCUGAUGGAGGGGGAUAACUACUGGAAACGGUAGCUAAUACCGCAUACCAUCAGAUGUGCCCAGAUGGGAUUAGCUUGUUGGUGGGGUAACGGCUCACCAGGGCGACGAUCCCUAGCUGGUCUGAGAGGAUGACCAGCCACACGUGAACGGAGACACGGUCCAGACUCCUACGGGAGGCAGCAGUGGGGAAUAUUGGGCAAUGGGCGAAAGCCUGAUGCAGCCAGGCCGCGGGUGUGAAGAAGGCCUUCGGGUUGUAAAGUACUUUCAGCGGGGAGGCGUUACCUGCAGAAGAAGCACCGGCUAACUCCGUGCCAGCCGCCGCGGUAAUUC
rnacentral:rRNA from 1 species